rnacentral:rRNA from 1 species
UUUCUAAAUUUAUAAUAGAAUUUUAUUUUUUAGUCAAAAAGCUAAAAUAAAUUUAAAAGACGAGAAGACCCUAUAAAUCUUUAUAUUUAGAUAAUUACAAUUUUGUGGAUUUUUUUUGUUGUGAUUGUUGAUAAUAUUUUAUUGGGGUGAUAUUAAAAUUUAAAAAACUUUUAAUUAAUUAAAUCAUUAAUUUAUGAAUAAUUGAUCCGUUAUUAACGAUUAAAAAUUUAAGUUACCUUAGGGAUAACAG